CUGUUUUGGUGUUGACUGUUUUGGUGUUGACUGUUUAUGGUCGACUGUUUUUUGCUGACUGUUUUCUUGUUGACUGAUUAUGGUUGACUGUUUUCUUGCUGACUGUUUUCUUGCUGACUGUUUUCUUGUUGACUGUUUUCUUGCUGACUGUUUUCUUGCUGACUGUUUUGGUGUUGACUGUUUAUGGUCGACUGUUUUUUGCUGACUGUUUUCUUGUUGACUGAUUAUGGUUGACUGUUUUCUUGCUGACUGUUUUCUUGUUGACUGUUUUCUUGUUGACUGUUUUUUGUUGACUGUUUUGGUGUUGACCGUUUUCCUGUUGACAGUUUUCUUGCUGACUGUUUUCUUGCUGACUGUUUAUGUUUGAGUGUUUUCUUGCUUGUGUCGGCAGUCGUGGCCAAAGGAGGAUUCAGACAAUUUUCCGAACUUUCUGGUUGGUUUCUACUGUCCGAUAUUGUAGCACGCUAACUUUGUUUGGGCUCCUGAACGACACGGGGGAGC